rnacentral:rRNA from 1 species
UACGUAGGGUGCGAGCGUGUCCGGAAUUAUUGGCGUAAAGGGCUCGUAGGCGGUUUGUCACGUCAGGAGUGAAAACUCGGGGCUCAACCCCGAGCCUGCUUCUGAUACGGGCAGACUAGAGGUAUGCAGGGGAGAACGGAAUUCCUGGUGUAGCGGUGAAAUGCGCAGAUAUCAGGAGGAACACCGGUGGCGAAGGCGGUUCUCUGGGCAUUACCUGACGCUGAGGAGCGAAAGCGUGGGGAGCGAACAGG